rnacentral:lncRNA from 1 species
GCAGCAUUAUUAAACUAAGUGUAUAGAUUAAAAGGUUCAAAUGUAUCUACUUUCUGCAACUAAAGAUCAUUAUGUUUGACAUGUAAUGGAAAAAAUAAGAAAGAAUAAGAAUGCACACCACCUGUUUGUUUAAUUCUCUCAGAGAGAAAAGGCAUGGUAAAGAUAGAUCGUUGCAGUGGUGUUGAAUGGAGCUUCAUCUUUGGCAUUAUUGACAAGAUAUAGCUGAAAUUUAUUGUUGACCGCCCUAAUCUUUGAACCACUGAAAGGGUUUUAGGGUUCUUACACUGGCGAGUACAGAAUUCUUACACCAAAUAUGGAGGUUUCAAUUGACUGUCACUCGAUGAAAUGUUUUGUUUAUCGAAGGGGAUGGGGAAUGGGUGGCAGUGGGGCGGACAGUGGUGGCGAUAGGGCGGUGGGGGAGUGGUGAUAUGGAAGAGGGGAAAAAGUUACGUCCCAGUGGUUUGAGUCAUUUUCCAGUUUAG